rnacentral:rRNA from 1 species
CAGUAGCCGCGGGAAAACGGAGGGUGCAAGCGUUAAUCGGAAUUACUGGGCGUAAAGCGCACGCAGGCGGUUUGUUAAGUCAGAUGUGAAAUCCCCGAGCUUAACUUGGGAACUGCAUUUGAAACUGGCAAGCUAGAGUCUUGUAGAGGGGGGUAGAAUUCCAAGUGUAGCGGUGAAAUGCGUAGAGAUCUGGAGGAAUACCGGUGGCGAAGGCGGCCCCCUGGACAAAGACUGACGCUCAGGUGCGAAAGCUAGGGGAGCAAACAGGAUUAGAUACCCCGGUAGUCCCUGUCUCUUAUAC